GCCAAUCGCUUUUGCUGAAAUUUCCACGAAAGAAGACAUGUUGGAAUUUAUUUUCGCGAGUUUUGGAUCACUAUUCAAGCGUUUCGAAUCACUAUUCAAGGUUUCGAAUCACUAUUCAAGGUUUUGAUUGCUAUACAGCCUAUACUGCAAUAAAAAGCGGGUAAACAUUUCGUUUCCCAUCUUUUGCUUUGUACUUGGGGCAAGCACUAUAGCAAAUCUGGCAAAACUGAAUUUUGUUCUUUGAAACAAAAUUUACGUAAUUUCAUCACAAGGUAUAAUAGAAAAAAGUGUUGAUUUGCAAUUUAAUGAUUUAAUUAAACAUUAUUCAAUGAUUUCACUAAUUGUUUUUAAUAGGUGUAAUAUUUUAAUUUAACAAAAAACUAUCUCAGACUGUAUACCUUCCUUCCCAGUACAGGAGUAUUUUUACACCAAUUUUUCCAAGCAUUAUCUUGAUAUAGAAACUGAAACGACAUGAAUUGUAUCAAUCAAACUAGUCAACCUGCAUCACUUGUUAACUAGUCACACGAUUCGUCUGCUGAGAUGCUGACCCACUCAAAGUAACAAAAGAAAUUCAUGCAUCCAUUGCUGCCUCUAAACUACAACUUCCUCCGUGGUUUAGCAAGGAUUCCAGUCGGGAGGUCACGUUAAACGAGAUGGUACGAUCGGAAGUGGAAAAAAUAACUCGUUACACCGAGGUCAACUGUCAACUGUGUAUUUUUUUAACAGCACAGUAGUUGCUGACAACAGAACUGUGAAAGAUUGAAUCCAACAGGUUAAUGUCCAUAACCGUAGCCUCCUCCGUGACCGCUGCUGAAUCCACCGUAAACACCACCACCACCGACAGCUACGGCUUGAGCGGCUUGGGCAGCCGAAUAAGCUUUAUUGGCGGCCUGCUGGGCAGCUGCUAAAUCAGCUAACGAAGCUUGGGACUGAGUUCGACAGAAGCUGCAUUUGGAUUAUUGAAGUAAACCAACAGUUUAGCAGCAAUCAGUUAUCAACACAAUGGAUUGAUCUACAAUCUUCGUUAAUAAUCUGCAACACCUUUCGUCAUUCAUGGUUGGUCAAAGAUGAAUCAUUCAAGGAUAAUUCUUUCAGUUAACGUUUAACAAGCGGGGCAGCCACCGUGUCCUCCGCCAUAUCCUCCGCCGAAUCCACCAUAGGAUCCACCACCACCAACGGCAGUAGCUUGGGCAGGCUUGAGCGGCUGAAUAAGCCUUGUUGGCCGCCUGCUGGGCAGCUGCCAAAUCAGCCAGUGAAGCUUGUUGUUUGUAAGCCAAAGCUUGGGCGUUUGCUUGAGCCUGGUAGGCCAUUUGCGCUUGAGAAGCUUGUUGGGCCUGAGCAGCCUGGAGGGAGGCAACUGCUUGAGCAGCGUGAGACUGGGCAGCUUUGGCAGCAGCGGCCAAAGCCUGAGCCUGUUGAAGAGCCUGGACCUUGGUGGCUUCGGCAGCCUGAACAGCUUGGGCGGCUUGAGCGGCCUGUGCGGAUUCAGCGAAAGCAGCAGCCUGUGCGGCUUGUGCGGCCUGGGAGAUCUGGGCAGCUUGGGCCUGUUUGGCGGCUACGACGGCCUGGGCUUGCUGGGCGGCUUGAGUGGCUUGUGCAGCAAGGGUGGCCUGUGCUUGUUGGGCAGCCUGAGAUGCAGCUCCGGCCUGUGCGUUCUGGGCCGCUUUGGCUGCAUUGGCAGCUUCCUGGGCAAUAGCUGCAGCACCACCAUAACCUACUCCAUAUCCGCCAGCUCCACCACCAGCUCCUCCGCCGUAUCCGGAGCUACCGCCACCUCCGUAUCCACCACCACCGCUGGCGAAUCCACGUUUUUCCUAUUCAUUCACCCAUUUCUUAUUGUUUGCAGAAUAGUAUCAUGAAAAACAUGAAACACUUACACGAGCCUGCUCGUCGCUCUUGCUUUCCUCCACGUCGGACACGGAUUCAGCUUCGUUGAUAACUGCUGCUUGAAGAGCUGCUACGAAGCCUUAAUGAGGAUGCAAAAAAAGAGAACUAAACAACUGCCAAAACUAGUUUUCAAUGCCAACAGGAAAAAUAAAAGAAAAUCAGUAGCAUACCGAAGAUGAUCAAAUAACGAAGAGUAACUUUCAUUUUUUCUUAAUUGAAGAGAAUGAACUGGAGAAGUGACUUUGCUGAUGAGUUGCUGAAGACUGAUAGCUUUUUUCGAAUGAUGUUUCUCCUUAAAUAUCGUUACCGAUUGCGCAGUACCUGUUAUGGCUGACGACUCAGCACCCCACUAGUUUUCACAGUUUCGCCCCCUUUUUUUUGUUUGUUAGGGUUGCUAAUUUAGUCUACAGACGGAUUGGAAAUCUACGUUUUCAUUGUCGAAGACAUUCACUUUGUUUCUCGUCCUGGAAUUGCUCUUUGGUCUGUUACAGUACCACCGCUCGCAUCCACACGGAAUUUUCGGAUCUUUGCUUUUCAGAUACGCAAUUAGCCAAUAGAAAAUGUUUGUUUUGUUUCCGACAUUUACAAUACGUAUUGAUCUAAUCCACAUCUGCAAAUCGACUUGUUGAUUUUUGAAUUCCAUUGAAGACCAUGGAAUUCCCUAGUUAAGGCAAAACGAGAAAUUUUUCUCGACUCAAUGCGUUGGCUUCGAUUUCACUUUCCUUUUCAAUUGACGAUGUUCAUUAACAAAGACCUGCAGAGCUUUCUCUUUAGGGCCCAUUCAAUGAAUAAGACUUGAAAAAACAAUUAGUCAUUUGGAUCGUUUCGUCUGCCCACUUUUGCACGAUCUUGUAUUUAACACAGUCCAGCAAGGAACAAUGCACCAGAUUCCGCCGGAUUAAUUCAUCAUAACGAGAAAGUUGACGGUGCUGUUUCAAAUUAUGGCUGUUGCCUGCUUAUGAGUUAAUCAUCCGAAUAGUCACGAAUUGCACAAAGAAAAGAAAAAAAUGAAAGUCAGAGCAAAUUUAUAGACUCUUAAGUUUAAGUUUUUACGUUGCCGAUGAAUGAAUUCAUUUUCUGUUCAUCCCCAGUACACCUAUAGGAAAAUGAUAUGCACCUUAGCCGGAAGCCGUUGAUGACUUAAUUUGAACUGGAAUUGGGAUUCGCUUGUUGAAAAAGAGCUACGAGAGAGAUAGGAUUCGUAGGUAAAGAACGGAUCUCUUGCUCUGCCAUGCGAUAUGGUUGUCAAUGGUGCUGCAAUUUUUAAAAUUUUCAAGCAGACUUUCGUGAGAUGAAGUAUAUUGAUCGUUUCCAUAGGUUUGUACGCGAAUGAAACGACAGUAAUUCAAAUCGCACUUGUUAUAAUCUAAUCAUUAUAUUUGCACUAAAAAAAUUUUCUAUUUUUAGAAUGCAAGUACAAUCACAACAACUGGAUGGUUGCGUACAAUACACUCAUUAUCAUAAUAAAAUCAUCAAAUCAACAGCUUUAUACGAAGAUGGGAAGCAGAGGUGUAGAUUGCUAUUUAACUGUGUAUAUUAAUCGAAUCUUCUUUAACGGCCAUAGCUAGGGAAUCCUUUGUAGCCAGCUACGUUGGAUGGGUAUCCGGCGCCGGAGCUCGCGGCUGCGUUGUACGCAUUUCCAGCGGCUGCCGCUCCACUGGCCGCCCAGGCAGCAGCUUGAAGUCCGCCCUGCUGUGCAAGGUAGUUUCCAUGACCGGCGGAAGCCAAGAAAUUUUGACUGGCUUGGUAUCCGCUGACGAAGUUGUUGGCUCCAGUGCUGACGGCCUUCAAUGCGAUACCAUCAACGACGACGUUAACGCCCUUCAGAGAUCCGUGGUAACCACGUCCACGACGAACCUAAAAGAUGCACAUGUUACGAGGUUUUAAUUUGCAUCGUUUGAAUGGGUGCAAAAUCGACUUACGCGAUGCAGCACGCGUUCAGAUUGGUCGUCGCCCAGCGCGACCGCGAUCAUCAUAGCUGUUUGCGUGAGAAAAAUGAUUGAAUUGAGUGUUGAUUAAAUAAUGAUUUGCAUUAAAGUACUACCUAGCAGAAUGAUGGUGGUGGAGCCUUUCAUUUUGUUAAACUGUUGUCUGUCGAAUCGAGAGUGUUUGUGAACUUACAGUGGCUCAUUUGCCUACAUUUAUAGGGGCACACCACUCAUAGGUUUCACUUUCCUUUUAUGUAUUCACCCUGAUUGUUCGAUUCAUGUUUCUUUAAGAAUUGAGCUCUAUAACACUGCGAGACGAAUGAUAUUAACGGAUAGCAGGCCUGCCUGCCUGAAUACAAUUGGAAAUUUCAUUCCCUCCCUGAA